rnacentral:rRNA from 1 species
AUCAGUAGCCGACCUGAGAGGGUGACCGGCCACAUUGGGACUGAGACACGGCCCAAACUCCUACGGGAGGCAGCAGUGGGGAAUAUUGCACAAUGGGGGGAACCCUGAUGCAGCAACGCCGCGUGAAGGAAGACGGUUUUCGGAUUGUAAACUUCUAUCAAUAGGGAAGAAAGAAAUGACGGUACCUAAAUAAGAAGCCCCGGCUAACUACGUGCCAGCAGCCGCGGUAAUACGUAGGGGGCAAGCGUUAUCCGGAAUUACUGGGUGUAAAGGGAGAGUAGGCGGCAAGGUAAGCGAUAUGUGAAAGCCUUAGGCUUAACCUGAGGAUUGCAUAACGAACUAUCUAGCUAGAGUACAGGAGAGGAAAGCGGAAUUCCUAGUGUAGCGGUGAAAUGCGUAGAUAUUAGGAAGAACACCAGUGGCGAAGGCGGCUUUCUGGACUGAAACUGACGCUGAGGCUCGAAAGCGUGGGGAGCGAACAGGAUUAGAUACCCUGGUAGUCCACGCUGUAAACGAUGAGUGCUAGGUGUCGGGGAGGAAUCCUCG